CCACGGCGGAGACGCGGGAGGCCUUCAGGCCCGGAGUGAGGCGGCCCCAGCGGCCGCAUCAUGGAUUCGGGUCCCGAGAACUACGAGCUCAACGGCGACCUGAGUCCGGGCUCCCCCGGCUCCCCGGACUCCUCAGACUUGCUUCAUUGUGUUCUUGGGCACGUCCCUCUGUGCCUCAGCUUCUCAUAUGUGAAAUGGGUGGUAGCAGUGCAUCUCUCAGAGGUCGACCUGAGGACUAAAUGAGCUGUGUGUGGAGUGCCGCAGCCAGCCAGGCACACCAUGUCAUUGACAUCUCCGCCUGCCACAUGAGACCGGGGGUGACGCCCAGGCAGGCACCUUCCCCAGGAGGCACUUGUGGACUUCCCCCUGCGCCUCUCCUGGCACUCCUGCAGCCGGCCCUUCCAGCGGCCCUGCCAGAAUCUGAGCCUCAGCCACGCCGCUGGGGCAGGAGCCGGCCCAUCAACGUGAACCAUUACGCCAACAAGAAGAGCGCAGCGGAGAGCAUGCUGGACAUCGCGCUGCUGAUGGCCAAUGCCUCCCAGCUGAAGGCUGUCAUCGAACAGGGCCCCGGCUUCGGCUUCUUCGUCCCCCUGGUGGUCCUCAUCUCCAUUUCCCUUGUGCUACAGAUUGGUGUGGGCGUGCUGCUCAUCUUCCUGGUCAGGUAUGACCUCAACAACCCGGCCAAGCACGCCAAGCUGGACUUCCUCAACAACCUGGCCACGGGCCUGGUCUUCAUCAUCGUGGUGGUCAACAUCUUCAUCACGGCCUUCGGCGUCCAGAAGCCCGUGGUGGACGUGGCAUCCCGGCAGUAGGGCUCAGAAGCCAAGCACCGGCCAAGAUUGUCCCGCUAAGGAGCCGGAGCCAAGGGAGGCCGGUGACCUUGUAACAUGCUCAACACAGCAGCACGACUGUGCAGUCUGGGCGCUCAGACACAGGCACCUGCGAGUGUCACGAGGGCAGAUGCAGAAGGUCAGCAUAGUUCAACAUUCUGCUGAGCUUGAUGACCGAGGCCUGGGGCAUGAGUGUCCUGUGUCUGGGACCCGAGCCAGGGCUGCACACCACACGUCCAUGCGACCUGGAGCCCAGCGCUCACUCCUUAGAUCGGCCCCAGAGGAAAGAUGCUCAGAUUGUGCAUAGCCAUAGCCACAAGGACUUCAGAAGCUGCCUCAUCCUUGGUGCCCACCUCCCUGCGUGGCAUUUCCUGAAACUGCCAGAGCCUAGGACUGGACUGGAGGCCACUUGGGCCACUCUGGGGACUACUCCAUCCUCGGCUGCUCCUCCUAAAGCAGGGACAGCAAGACCCAGAAGGCAGAACUGGAGAUCCCCAAGAAGGGUCGUGGUCAACACGGACACGUGGGAGGCCUGAGGAUGGGCAGCAAGGGGCCAGGGCCGGCCUCAGUCUCAGGAUGUUUCCAGAGGGACGAGGAGAAGCCCCCCUCAGCCAACAUACCCCCUGGGGGACCCAUGGCCUCUAUACUUCCUGACCCAGGAGACUGGACGUCCAGCUCCUCCGCUGGCCUUCCACUGUGGCUGUGGUCCCUGCAGACGUCCUCCACUAGCAGUGACUGGGCAGGGGCCUGGGGCCUGAGGCCCCACUUUCCUAAGCACUAAUGAUCAAUAAACCUGAUACUCCUUCUGUGUA